rnacentral:lncRNA from 1 species
AUGCUCUCCUUCUGCUUCUUCAGCAACAUCCGUCGUGGGAGUAUCCUCUCCUUCUGCUUCUCCAGCAUUGUCUGUCGUGGGAGAGCUCUCUCCUUAUGCUUUUCCAUCGUCGUCCGUCGUGUGAGCAUCCUCUCCUUCUGCUUCUCCAACAUUGUCUGCUGUGGGAGAGCUCUCUCCUUAUGUUUCUCCAUCAUUGUCCAUUGUGGGAGCAUCCUCUCCUUUGGCUUCUCCAGCAACAUCCGUCGUGGGAGUAUCCUCUCCUUCUGCUUCUCCAGCAUCGUCUGUUGUGGGAGAGUACUCUCCUUAUGUUUCUCCAGCGUCGCCCGUCGCGGGAGCGCCCUCUCCUUCGGCUUCUCCAGCAUCGUCUGUUGUGGGAGAGCCCUCUCAUUAUGUUUCUCCAUCAUUGUCCGUCGUUGGAACAUCCUCUCCUUCGGCUUCUCCAGAAACAUCCGUCGUGGGAGUGCCCUCUUCUACUGCUUCUCCAACAUCGACUGUUGUGGGAGAGCCCUCUCCUUAUGUUUCUCCAUCGUCCCUCUUCUUGGGAGCAUCCUCUUCUUCUGUUUCUCCAUCGUCCUCCAUCUUGGGAGUAUCCUCUCCUUCUGCUUCUCCAGCAUCGUCUGUCGUGGGAGAGCUCUCUCCUUAUGCUUUUCCAUCGUCGUCCGUCGUGUGAGCAUCCUCUCCUUCUGCUUCUCCAACAUCGUCUGCUGUGGGAGAGCUCUCUCCUUAUGUUUCUCCAUCAUUGUCCGUUGUGGGAGCAUCCUCUCCUUCGGCUUCUCCAGCAACAUCCGUCGUGGGAGUGUCCUCUCCUUCUGCUUCUCCAGCAUCGUCUGUUGUGGGAGAGUACUCUCCUUAUGUUUCUCCAUCGUCGUCCGUCGUGGGAGCAUCCUGUCCUUCUGCUUCUCCAGCAACAUCCGUCGUGGGAGUGCCCUCUCCUUCUGCUUCUCCAGCAUCAUCCGUUGUGGAGAGUCCUCUCCUUCUGCUUCUCCAGCAUCGUCUGUUGUGGGAGCGUGCUCUCCUUAUGUUUCUCCGUUGUCAUCCAUUGUGGGAGUGUGCUCUUCUGCUUCUCAAGCAUCAUCCGUCGUGGGAGCAUCCUCUCCUUCGGCUUCUCCAGCAUUGCCCGUUGCGGGAGCGCCCUCUCCUUCUGCUUCUCAGCAUCAUCCGUUGUGGAGAGUCCUCUCCUUCUGCUUCUCCAGCAUCGUCUGUUAUGGGAGCAUGCUCUCCUUAUGUUUCUCCGUUGUCAUCCAUUGUGGGAAUGUGCUCUUCUUCUGCUUCUCAAGCGUCGCCCGUCACGGGAGCACCCUCUCCUUCGGCUUCGCCAGCUUCACCUGUUGCAGGAGCGCCCUCUCCUUUGGCCUCUCCAUCGUCAUCCGUCGUGGGAGCAUUCUCUCCUUCUGCUUCUCCAGCAACAUCCAUCGUGGGAGCAUCCUCUCCUUCUGCUUCUCCAGCAACAUCCAUCGUGGGAGUGCCCCCUUCUUCUGCUUCUCCAACAUCGUCUGUUGUGGGAGAGCCCUCUCCUUAUGUUUCUCCAUCGUCGUCCGUUGUGGGAGCAUGCUCUCCUUCUGCUUCUUCAGCAACAUCCGUCGUGGGAGCAUGCUCUCCUUCUGCUUCUUCAGCAACAUCCGUUGUGGGAGCAUUCUAUCCUUCUGCUUCUCCAACAUCGUCUGUUGUGGGAGAGUUCUCUCCUUAUGUUUCUCCAUUGUUGUCCAUCGUGGGAGCAUGCUCUCCUUAUGUUUCUCCAUUGUCCGUCAUGGGAGCAUCCUCUCCUUCUGCUUCUCCAGCAACAUCCCUCGUGGGAGUGCCCUCUUCUUCUGCUUCUUCAACACUGUCUGUUGUGGGAGAGCCCUCUCCUUAUGUUUCUCCAUCGUCGUCCAUUGUGGGAGCAUGCUCUUCUUAUGUUUCUCCAUCAUUGUCCGUCAUGGGAUCAUCCUCUCCUUCUGCUUCUCCAACAUCGUCUGUUGUGGGAGAGCUCUCUCCUUAUGUUUCUCCAUCGUCGUCCAUCGUGGGACCAUGCUCUUCUUAUGUUUCUCCAUCAUUGUCCGUCGUGGGAGCAUCCUCUCCUUUGGCUUCUCCAGCAAGAUCUGUCGUGGGAUUGCCCUCUUCUUCUGCUUCUCUAACAUUGUCUGUUGUGGGAGAGCCCUCUCCUUAUGUUUCUCCAUCGUUGUCCGUCAUGGGAGCAUCCUCUCCUUCUGCUUCUCCAGCAAUGUCCAUUGUGGGAGUGCCCUCUCCUUCUGCUUCUCCAGCAUCAUCCGUUGUGGAGAGUCCUCUCCUUCUGCUUCUCCAGCAUCGUCCAUCGUGGGAGCAUGCUCUCCUUAUGCUUCUCCAUUGUCAUCCAUUGUGGGAGUGUGCUCUUCUUCUGCUUCUCAAGCAUCGUCCGUCGCGGGAGCACCCUCUCCUUAUGUUUCUCCACCAUCGCCCGUCAUGGGAGCGAUACCUCACGCUGCUUUUUCAGCUUCAUCUGCCAUUGGAAGACCACAUCCUGCUGGUUCCUCAGCUUUGUUCACUGGGAAAGUUAUGUCCCCCGCUGCUUCACCAGCUCCGCCUGUUGUGGGUGCGCCAUCUCCUGUGCGGUCUCUAGCAUUGUAA